UGUGAGGUUAAGCGACUAAGCGUACACGGUGGAUGCCCUGGCAGUCAGAGGCGAUGAAGGGCGUGCUAAUCUGCGAUAAGCGCCGGUAAGGUGAUAUGAACCGUUAUAACCGGCGAUACCCGAAUGGGGAAACCCAGUGUGAUUCGUCACACUAUCAUUAACUGAAUCCAUAGGUUAAUGAGGCGAACCGGGGGAACUGAAACAUCUAAGUACCCCGAGGAAAAGAAAUCAACCGAGAUUCCCCCAGUAGCGGCGAGCGAACGGGGAGGAGCCCAGAGCCUGAAUCAGCAUGUGUGUUAGUGGAAGCGUCUGGAAAGGCGCGCGAUACAGGGUGACAGCCCCGUACACAAAAGCGCAUGUGCUGUGAGCUCGAUGAGUAGGGCGGGACACGUGGUAUCCUGUCUGAAUAUGGGGGGACCAUCCUCCAAGGCUAAAUACUCCUGACUGACCGAUAGUGAACCAGUACCGUGAGGGAAAGGCGAAAAGAACCCCGGCGAGGGGAGUGAAAAAGAACCUGAAACCGUGUACGUACAAGCAGUGGGAGCACAGGUUUACCUG
rnacentral:rRNA from 1 species